ACCAAGCUUCUUCAGCAGCAGGACUUCUACAGUAACUAGACUCCAUCCAAGUUUCUACGGUGGUCGACUGCCUUCCAAAUUUCAGCCGAACUUCUACCGCAAGCAGUCUACUCCGAACUUCUACUACAGGUGGUCUACUUCAGAUCUUUACUGCGGACUUCAGUCGAGCUUCUUCAUAGUCGGAUCCUAGUCGAGCUCCUAUAGUGGAUGGAUCCCAGACGAGCUUCUACAACGGGAC
rnacentral:lncRNA from 1 species